rnacentral:misc_RNA from 1 species
GAUGAAGAACGUAGCGAAAUGCGAUAAGUAAUGUGAAUUGCAGAAUUCAGUGAAUCAUCGAAUCUUUGAACGCACAUUGCGCCGGCUAGUAGUCUGGCGGGCAUGCCUGUCCGAGCGUCAUUUCAACCCUCAAGCCCCCGGGCUUGGUGUUGGGGAUCGGCGAGCCUCCGCGCCCGCCGUCCCCUAAAUCUAGUGGCGGUCUCGCUGUAGCUUCCUCUGCGUAGUAGCACACCUCGCACUGGGAAACAGCGCGGCCACGCCGUUAAACCCCCAACUUCUGAACGUUUGACCUCGGAUCAGGUAGGAAUACCCGCUGAACUUAAGCAUAUCAAUAAGCGGAGGA